rnacentral:rRNA from 1 species
GACGAGGGGUCCUAGCGUUGUUCGGAAUCAUUGGGCGUAAAGCGUGUGUAGGCUGCCAUUCAAGUCAGUUGUGAAAUCCCCGGGCUUAACCCGGGAAGUGCUUCUGAUACUGUUUGGCUUGAGUACUGGAGAGGAUAGUAGAAUUCCUGGUGUAGUGGUGAAAUACGUAGAUAUCAGGAGGAAUACCGGUGGCGAAGGCGGGCUAUCUGGCCAUGUACUGACGCUGAGACACGAAAGCGUGGGGAGCAAACAGG